UACGAAGGGUGCAAACGUUGCUCGGAAUUAUUGGGCGUAAAGCGCACGUAGGCGGCUUUGCAAGCCGGAUGUGAAAUCCCCGGGCUUAACCUGGGAACUGCAUUCGGGACUGCAUUGCUAGAGUAUGGGAGAGGGAAGUGGAAUUUCAGGUGUAGCGGUGAAAUGCGCAGAUAUCAGGAAGAACACCCGUGGCGAAGGCGGCUCUCUGGGACGGUACUGACGCUGAGACGCGAAAGCGUGGGGAGCGAACAGG
rnacentral:rRNA from 1 species